GCCCUGCAGCUGCAGGACUCUCUAAACGAGCCUUCUCCACAUCCUUCCUUUGCAUCAGUCUCUCUGUGCUGCAUUUUUCAGUGGGAUUCAUGCAGGGGUUGUGAGCCAUCUGAGUGCUGCAUUGCCCACAAUGGUUAUUGCCUCUAACUCCAGAGGGCCACAUCAGCUGCCACUGACUUUUAUUCCUGCAGAUAAAAAUAUCCAUGAACAAGACCUGUGGCUUUCCUUCUCAAAUAGAGCUUCAGCCGGCUUCUACCCCACCGCCCUGGUCUGGGCUGGCAGCUCCCCUCUGGCAGCCGCAGUCAUACAGGCUUUCUGCCCCAGCUCACCUCCUUCCCCCAUCUGCUGGGGGCUCCUCUCGAGGCCCAUGUGGUCUUGAAUGAAUGCUUGGCUGAUCAUGCCACCUCCGUCACCGGGCUCCUCAUUGCUUUGCCUGGCUCUGCAGCACGCAGCUGACCGCCCCUGCCGGGACUCUGACCUCACCGCACA